rnacentral:rRNA from 1 species
UGAACGCUAGCUACAGGCUUAACACAUGCAAGUCGAGGGGCAGCAUGGUCUUAGCUUGCUAAGGCCGAUGGCGACCGGCGCACGGGUGAGUAACACGUAUCCAACCUGCCGUCUACUCUUGGACAGCCUUCUGAAAGGAAGAUUAAUACAAGAUGGCAUCAUGAGUCCGCAUGUUCACAUGAUUAAAGGUAUUCCGGUAGACGAUGGGGAUGCGUUCCAUUAGAUAGUAGGCGGGGUAACGGCCCACCUAGUCUUCGAUGGAUAGGGGUUCUGAGAGGAAGGUCCCCCACAUUGGAACUGAGACACGGUCCAAACUCCUACGGGAGGCAGCAGUGAGGAAUAUUGGUCAAUGGGCGAGAGCCUGAACCAGCCAAGUAGCGUGAAGGAUGACUGCCCUAUGGGUUGUAAACUUCUUUUAUAAAGGAAUAAAGUCGGGUAUGGAUACCCGUUUGCAUGUACUUUAUGAAUAAGGAUCGGCUAACUCCGUGCCAGCAGCCGCGGUAAUACGGAGGAUCCGAGCGUUAUCCGGAUUUAUUGGGUUUAAAGGGAGCGUAGAUGGAUGUUUAAGUCAGUUGUGAAAGUUUGCGGCUCAACCGUAAAAUUGCAGUUGAUACUGGAUAUCUUGAGUGCAGUUGAGGCAGGCGGAAUUCGUGGUGUAGCGGUGAAAUGCUUAGAUAUCACGAAGAACUCCGAUUGCGAAGGCAGCCUGCUAAGCUGCAACUGACAUUGAGGCUCGAAAGUGUGGGUAUCAAACAGGAUUAGAUACCCUGGUAGUCCACACGGUAAACGAUGAAUACUCGCUGUUUGCGAUAUACUGCAAGCGGCCAAGCGAAAGCGUUAAGUAUUCCACCUGGGGAGUACGCCGGCAACGGUGAAACUCAAAGGAAUUGACGGGGGCCCGCACAAGCGGAGGAACAUGUGGUUUAAUUCGAUGAUACGCGAGGAACCUUACCCGGGCUUAAAUUGCAGAUGAAUUACGGUGAAAGCCGUAAGCCGCAAGGCAUCUGUGAAGGUGCUGCAUGGUUGUCGUCAGCUCGUGCCGUGAGGUGUCGGCUUAAGUGCCAUAACGAGCGCAACCCUUGUUGUCAGUUACUAACAGGUUCCGCUGAGGACUCUGACAAGACUGCCAUCGUAAGAUGUGAGGAAGGUGGGGAUGACGUCAAAUCAGCACGGCCCUUACGUCCGGGGCUACACACGUGUUACAAUGGGGGGUACAGAGGGCCGCUACCACGCGAGUGGAUGCCAAUCCCCAAAACCUCUCUCAGUUCGGACUGGAGUCUGCAACCCGACUCCACGAAGCUGGAUUCGCUAGUAAUCGCGCAUCAGCCACGGCGCGGUGAAUACGUUCCCGGGCCUUGUACACACCGCCCGUCAAGCCAUGGGAGCCGGGGGUACCUGAAGUGCGUAACCGCGAGGAGCGCCCUAGGGUAAAACUGGUGACUGGGGCUAAGU